GUGCACACCUGUAAUCCCAGCUACUUGGAAUGCUGAGGCAGGAGAGUCACUUGAACCCCGGAGGCGGAGGUUGCAGUGAGCUGAGAUCGUGCCAUUGCACUCCAGCUUGGGCAACAAGAGGGAAACUCAAAAUAAAUAAAUAAAUAAAAAAGGAAAGAGGCAGAGCUAAGAGGUGGAGAGAGAUUCUCAGUGACUUUGAGCACCUGGAUCAAGCUGUUCUAAAUUUGGAGUCUAUUCCCUAUAAGUCCCUUUUUUAUAAGCAUAAAAUAGUGAGUUGGAUUUUUAACCCUCGGCCGUCUAAAGAAUGCUUAUAAUCGUGCGGUGUACAGGGAAGGCAGAUUCUGGAAAAGACAUUGUGUUAAGUUUGACAAAUUCUCAGAUAUUGAAGUUAUAGUUCAUGGGCAUGUAGAAAAAGUGGUGGUCACUAGGUGCUGGUGUGUGUUCAGUAACACAAGCCAUGCCAAAGUGGAUGCAUUUCUGUGAAAAGAGCACUAGAGUGUGGAUUUGGAGCCUGUUACGGACAAUGUCUCUGAAUCUUCCUCUUUUUUUUUGAGAUGGAGUCUCGCCCUGUCACCUAGGCUGGAGUGCAGUGGUGCGAUCUCGGCUCACUGCAACCUCUGCCUCCCGGAUUCAAGCGAUUCUCCUGCCCCAGCCUCCCCAGUAGCUGGGAUUAUAGGCGCGCGCC
rnacentral:lncRNA from 10 species